CGGGGCAGGUCUAGGUAUAGCAUUAUACCGUGAAACUGCGAAUGGCUCAUUAAAUCAGUUAUCGUUUAUUUGAUAAUACCUUACUACUUGGAUAACCGUGGUAAUUCUAGAGCUAAUACAUGCUGAAAAUCCCGACUUCGGAAGGGAUGUGUUUAUUAGAUAAAAAACCAAUGCCCUUCGGGGCUUUUUGGUGAUUCAUGAUAACUUUACGGAUCGCAUAGCCUUGCGCUGGCGACGGUUCAUUCAAAUUUCUGCCCUAUCAACUUUCGAUGGUAAGGUAUUGGCUUACCAUGGUUUCAACGGGUAACGGGGAAUUAGGGUUCGAUUCCGGAGAGGGAGCCUGAGAAACGGCUACCACAUCCAAGGAAGGCAGCAGGCGCGCAAAUUACCCAAUCCCGACACGGGGAGGUAGUGACAAUAAAUACUGAUACAGGGCUCUUUUGGGUCUUGUAAUUGGAAUGAGUACAAUUUAAACCUCUUAACGAGGAACAAUUGGAGGGCAAGUCUGGUGCCAGCAGCCGCGGUAAUUCCAGCUCCAAUAGCGUAUAUUAAAGUUGUUGCAGUUAAAAAGCUCGUAGUUGAAACUUGGGCCUGGCUGGCGGGUCCGCCUCACCGCGUGCACUCGUCCGGCCGGGCCUUCCUUCUGAAGAACCUCAUGCCCUUCACUGGGCGUGCUGGGGAAUCAGGACUUUUACUUUGAAAAAAUUAGAGUGUUCAAAGCAGGCCUUUGCUCGAAUACGUUAGCAUGGAAUAAUAAAAUAGGGCGUGCGUUUCUAUUUUGUUGGUUUCUAGAGACGCCGCAAUGAUUAACAGGAACAGUCGGGGGCAUCAGUAUUCAGUUGUCAGAGGUGAAAUUCUUGGAUUUACUGAAGACUAACUACUGCGAAAGCAUUUGCCAAGGAUGUUUUCAUUAAUCAGUGAACGAAAGUUAGGGGAUCGAAGACGAUCAGAUACCGUCGUAGUCUUAACCGUAAACUAUGCCGACUAGGGAUCGGGCGAUGUUCUUUUUCUGACUCGCUCGGCACCUUACGAGAAAUCAAAGUUUUUGGGCUCUGGGGGGG
rnacentral:rRNA from 1 species